rnacentral:rRNA from 1 species
UACGUAGGGUGCAAGCGUUGUCCGGAAUUAUUGGGCGUAAAGAGCUCGUAGGCGGUUUGUCGCGUCGAAUGUGAAAACCCGGGGCUCAACCCCGGGCCUGCAUUCGAUACGGGCAGACUAGAGUUCGGUAGGGGAGUCUGGAAUUCCUGGUGUAGCGGUGAAAUGCGCAGAUAUCAGGAGGAACACCGGUGGCGAAGGCGGGUCUCUGGGCCGAUAUUGACGCUGAGGAGCGAAAGCGUGGGGAGUGAACAGG